GUUAUCUUUCACAGGUUAUCUUAUACAUCUCAGAUGGAGCUGUCAUUUUCUUCCCCUUGACUGCAGAAGUUUUACCUUUUGGUGGGAAUUACUUUAAUGAAAAGCUGCAGAUGGUCAGACCUGAUGGCACACCUGUAAUCCCAGCACCUUUGUGAGGCCAAGGCGGGUGGAUCGCUUUAGCCCAGGAAUUCAAGACAGGCCUGGGCAACAUAGCAAGACCUUGUCUCUGCAAAAAAAAUAAAAAAUAAAAAAAAGAUCAGUCAGGUGUGGUAGUGUGUGCCUGUAGUUCUAGCUUCUAGGGAAGCUGAGGUGGGAGGAUUGCUUGAGCCCAGGAGCUCAAGAUUUCAGUGAGCUAUCAUCGUGCCACUGCACUCCAGCCUGGGCAACAAACAGAAUGAGACCGUCUCAAAAAAAAAAAAACAAAAGAAAACAAAA